rnacentral:rRNA from 1 species
GCCCAACAUCCAGCCUAAAACACAUCACAUGUUAACGACCACUGAUAUUACCAAGAUAAAACAUUUUAAUUUAUAAGUAGAGGUGAUCGAAAAAUACUUAAGCGCUUAAGAGAUAGUACCGCAAGGGAAAGAUGAAAUAUAAAUGAAAUAAACUUAAGCCCCUAACAGCAGAGACUAUAACUCGUACCUUUUGCAUAAUGGUCUAGCUAGUCCAACCAAGCAAAACGAAAUUUCAGUUUGCCCCCCCGAAACUAAGCGAGCUACUUCUAAACAGCCCAAAGAGCUAACCCAUCUCUGUGGCAAUAGAGUGGGAAGAUUUACAAGUAGAGGUGAUAAGCCUACCGAGCUUAGAGAUAGCUGGUUAUUCAGGAAAAGAAUUUUAGUUCUGCCUUAAAUUUCACCAUGUUAUACAACAAAGUUUAAGAGUUAAUCAAUUAAGGUACAGCUUAAUUGAAAAAGAAUACAAUCUAAACAACCGGGUAAGCACCUAAUACUACAACAAGUGGGCCUAAAAGCAGCCACCUUUAAAAAAGCGUUAAAGUUAAAUUAACCACAACAUAAUCCCCAUAAACAACUACAAACCCAUCUACACUACUGAAUGACUCCAUAGCAAUAUGGAACUCACUAUGCUAGAACUAGUAACAAGAAUACAUUCUCCAAAGCGUAAGCCUGAGCCAAAAUGGAAUCCACACCGGUAAUCAACGAACAUGAACCCGUAACAGUAACAUACUAGAAAAUUCUGUUAACACAUUCGUCAACCUUACACCAGAACACUUCAGGAAAGAUUAAAAGAGGGGGAAGGAACUCGGCAAAUUUCAACCCCGCCUGUUUACCAAAAACAUCGCCUCUUGACAAACAUAAGAGGUCCUGCCUGCCCAGUGAUAAAUUCAACGGCCGCGGUACCCUAACCGUGCAAAGGUAGCACAAUCACUUGUUCCUUAAAUAGGGACUCGUAUCAACGGCAUCACGAGGGUUGCACUGUCUCCCCCCUCCAAUCAGUGAAACUGAUCUCCCCAUGAAAAAGUGGGGAUAAUACUAUAAGACGAGAAGACCCCAUGGAGCUUUAAACCCUAUAGCAAUUUAGCAAACCAUUAGCUACAAAACUAUGCUGGCGGCUUUAGGUUGGGGCGACCACGGAGUAAAAAUUAACCUCCAUAACGAAAAGAUUUAAAUCUUUACCCAAGAACCACUAUUCUAAGAAUUAGGAAACUAACGGACAUGACCCGACAUCGAUCAAUGAACCAAGUUACCCUGGGGAUAACAGCGCAAUCUACUUCAAGAGUCCAUAUCGACAAGUAGGAUUACGACCUCGAUGUUGGAUCAGGGUAUCCCAGUGGUGCA